AGUGAACGCUGGCGGCGUGCCUAAUACAUGCAAGUCGAGCGGAGCGGCGGACGGGUGAGUAAUGCCUAGGAAUCUGCCUGGUAGUGGGGGAUAACGUCCGGAACCGGGCGCUAAUACCGCAUACUAUCAGAUGAGCCUAGGGCGGAGUAGCUAGUGGGUGGGGUAAAGGCCUACCAAGGCGAAGAUCCGUAACUGGUCUGAGAGGAUGAGCAGUCACACUGGAACUGGGACACGGUCCAGAUGCCUACGGGAGGCAGCAGUGGGGAAUAUUGCACAAUGGGCGCAAGCCUGAUGCAGCCAUGCCGCGUGGGUGAAGAAGGCCUUCGGGUUGUAAAGCACUUUCAGCGGGGAGGCGUUACUCGCAGAAGAAGCACCGGCUAACUCCGUGCCAGCAGCCGCGGUAAUAC
rnacentral:rRNA from 1 species